GACGAACGCUGGCGGCGUGCUUAACACAUGCAAGUCGAGCGGUAAGGCCCUUUCGGGGGUACACGAGCGGCGAACGGGUGAGUAACACGUGGGUGACCUGCCCUCAGCUCUGGGAUAAGCCUGGGAAACUGGGUCUAAUACUGGAUAUGACUCCACGGUGCAUGUCGUGGGGUGGAAAGCCUUGUGCGGCUGAGGAUGGGCCCGCGGCCUAUCAGCUUGUUGGUGGGGUGANGGCCUACCAAGGCGACGACGGGUAGCCGGCCUGAGAGGGCGACCGGCCACACUGGGACUGAGACACGGCCCAGACUCCUACGGGAGGCAGCAGUGGGGAAUUUUGGACAAUGGGCGCAAGCCUGAUCCAGCCAUGCCGCGUGCGGGAAGAAGGCCU
rnacentral:rRNA from 1 species